rnacentral:rRNA from 1 species
AACGAACGCUGGCGGCAUGCCUAACACAUGCAAGUCGAACGAGACCUUCGGGUCUAGUGGCGCACGGGUGCGUAACGCGUGGGAAUCUGCCCUUAGGUACGGAAUAACUCAGGGAAACUUGAGCUAAUACCGUAUAAUGACUCCGGUCCAAAGAUUUAUCGCCUAAGGAUGAGCCCGCGUCGGAUUAGCUAGUUGGUGAGGUAAAAGCUCACCAAGGCGACGAUCCGUAGCGGUCUGAGAGGAUGAUCAGCCACACUGGGACUGAGACACGGCCCAGACUCCUACGGGAGGCAGCAGUGGGGAAGUAUUGGACAAUGGGCGAAAGCCUGAUCCAGCAAUGCCGCGUGAGUGAU